rnacentral:lncRNA from 1 species
CUAUACAACAGGUCCCCGUUGGCCAAUCAUUCCAUAUUCCUCAGUGUAAUUAGCAAGCUUUUAUAAAACACUUUUCAUCAGGGAAUAGAAUACUGGGAAUGUGGUCUGACUUCACUCCUCACCCUUGCCUGCAAGACCUUUCAUUGCCAUUGGAGAAACACCUCAAGAUAUGUGGAGGCUGUCAGAGGGGAGAAGUGCAAGGGGUUCCAGACAACCAUAGCACAGGGGACCAGCCCUCCGUGGGGAAGUAGGGAGUAAGAAGUGUUUAGGAAAAAGGCUCAAGCAUGGGGGCAUUCUCCUUGGGGUGCCAGAGUCAGCUGACUAAGAUGAGAUCAUUCCCGCGUCCAUAUUCUCCAGCCAAAAACCAGCAGGAACACACCUGAGAACAAGUGGAAUCUAGAACAAGUUGGGUUUCUUCCUCAAUGCCCUGAGUGUCUCAGGAGGAGGAUAUUAGAAGAAAGCUACUGCAGGAUUUGGGCUUAGGUCGGGUGAUUUGAGGGAGAGCCUGAAAGUGGUGGGUCAUUUAGAUCAGAUGCUGAAAGCCAGGGCAGUUCUGUGAUUCAUCUCUCAAUGAAUCUUACCGACAGGAGGGAAGAUGAUGGGUAGGAAAGAGCCGUUCCUGGAAACAAAGUAGCUGUCAUUCAUUUUAACCAAAAGAAUGGAGUGUUUGGUAUUUGAGGGGUGGCGCAGUGACCUUUUUUUUUUUCCCCUGUAUUUAGAAAACAAUUAUGAAUUGCCAUCAUUUUGUCUCACUUUAUCAUGCUCUCCAAGUAAUCUUACUUGGUGUAGGUAUUCUCUGAUACUUCUUGGUAUUUAUGUCCAGGCUCACUUGUGGAUAGCAGCAAGGCCAUUGUUUUUGUUUUUGUUUUCCCCUCACAAGGAACAUGAAGCAUGAGGGAGGCUUUUAGCUUGAAUUGGAAGACAUCCUUCUAGAAUUUUAGCAAUCAGUGAAAAAGUACAGGUCUUCUUGGCACACCCACUCCAUGUAUGAAGAAGAAAUGUGAACAGAAGAAGCACAUUCAGCUCAUUGCUGGCUUGCAUGUAUUUUCUAAGAUUUGUUUAAAUGCCUCUACUCUCAAGUUUUAUAUUUGUUGUAUUUUGAUGUACUAUUCAUAAAUGUUAAAAACACCAGUCAGAUUUCAGUUCAUCCAUCCUCCCGUAAGGAUUGUCUCAGCCUGGAGCUGUGGAUUCUCUUGGCUUAGAAUUUAAACCCCUAUCACUACCCCUCCCAGCUCGAUUGAUUAGGAAACUGGGGCAGUGAUAUCAGAGUGGAAUGAGAGAAAACCAAGAAGUCAUCCAUUACAAAAACUGUCCAUAAAGUCUGCUCCUAAUUUGAAUACAAAGUGUUUUAAUAAGCAAGAAUUUGACCACUGCUGGAGUUCCCUUGGUGGCGCAGUGGAAAUGAAUCCAACUAAAAAGUAUGUGGUUGCGGGUUCAAUCCCUGGCCUUGCUCAGUGGGUUAAUGAUCCAGCAUUGCUGUGAGUUGUGGUAUAGGUCAUAGAUGUGGUUCAGAUCCGGUGUUACUGUGGCUGUGGUGCAGGUCGGUGGCUACAGCUCCCAUUCAACCCCUAGCCUGGGAACUUCCAUAUGCUGCGGGUA